ACGAAGGGGGCUAGCGUUGUUCGGAUUUACUGGGCGUAAAGCGCACGUAGGCGGAUCGUUAAGUCGGGGGUGAAAUCCUGGAGCUCAACUCCAGAACUGCCUUCGAUACUGGCGAUCUUGAGUCCGGAAGAGGUGAGUGGAACUCCUAGUGUAGAGGUGGAAUUCGUAGAUAUUAGGAAGAACACCAGUGGCGAAGGCGGCUCACUGGUCCGGUACUGACGCUGAGGUGCGAAAGCGUGGGGAGCAAACAGGA
rnacentral:rRNA from 1 species